UGCUCACCCUCUCCUUGUUUUCCGUCUUCAGAUGCUGUGAACGGAGUUGUUUUGACCCUGCCGUCUCUGCCGCUGGAAGGUGGGAACGUGUCUCUGAGUUGCAGCUGGUCUGCGGGUUCAGAGGUCAGUGUGGUUUGGGGUAAAGGAGGAGCUGCGCUUUCCUCUGACAGCCGCAUUACUAUCAGCGCUGGAUCUCUGCUCAUUAAACAGGCCCGGAGAGACGAUGCAGGAGAAUACACAUGCACCGUCAGCAAUGCCGUCAGCGCUCAAAGCGCCAAGACCACCCUCAGCGUCUACUAUGGUCCAGAUGCCCCACAGUUGACUAAGACCUCAAGUGAGUGUGUUGGCGGGGGUGAUGCUACGGUGGGACAGACGGUGCGUCUCACCUGUACGUCUGCCUCUCUACCUCCUGCCUCCUUCUCAUGGGAACUUAACGGCCAGCCGGUGACCACCGGCCAAUCAGGGAGUGGUGUGCUGAGUCUGCAGAUCUUCUCCUCCAAUCAGAGUGGACGUUACACCUGCAUUGCACGGAAUGACGUCACAGGAGUGACAUCGAAGCAGCAGAUAGACAUGGCCAUUGUGGGUACAUGUCUCAGCGGAGGUGCCGUAGCAGGGAUCGUUGUUGCCUGUGUUGUUGCACUCAUCAUAAUUAUUGUUGUAAUUAUUUUGCUUCUGCGACAAAGAAACGUUGAUCGUAGACUCCGAGAUACUAUUGGACUUCAGAAGACAAACCAGAAUGAAGGAACCACAAUUGCAAACAGAGCUCUUGUCAAUGAAAACCACCGUGAUCCCACAUUACACAACUCACUCCCACAAAACUUCACUGCUGUUCCCAAUAACAACAAUGGGAACAUAAACACAAUGUCACAAAACAUGCCCAGCAACUCCAACCCACUCCAUCAUAAUGGCCAUCUGCACACCGAUGCAUUCCAACACAACUUCAGUACAGUCCCAGACAAUGGGCAUCAAAACAAGUCAUAUCCAAACAAUGACCCUCAGAGGUCGUUCCUACAGCCUGUCCAACACAAUCCCAAUAUUCUCAUACAAACGGGCAGUUCUCAGCCUGGUGCGCUUGCCCAUACAGUUCAUGUAAACCUCAACACCUUGCCACGAACCGACCAGUUUAAUAAUUCACAACCUCAAACGGUGCAUGUCAACUUGAACACAUACCCUCCAGAAGCAAAUCAGGUGGUCCAGCAACAUGCAGAUCAUGGAGAAAGUGCACUACAGAGUCAACAUACUAACGCCAACCAUCAAAAUAAUUCUCAGACUGGCUUGCUGAACUCUGACCCUUUGAGAUUGGGUAAUCAAACACAAACAAUGCUCAAUAAUGCUUCAUCAAAUGGUUCUCGUCAGCCCAACAGCUUCAUUCAGACUGGAUACUCGCACCCUACCAACCAAACCAAUGCAAACCGCCAAACUGCCAACUCAAGAUCAUCAGCAGAAGAGCGAGGUCAACGUUCAAACCCCCUUCAGACCAACAACCAGUUCAAUGACUCCAGAGCGCACCUCCAACAGAUGCCUUUGGACCGUUUGCAGGGAACGCCGGCGUAUCCCAACCCCGACGUCUAUAGUUCAGACAGUAGUGUAUCUUCAGAUUGGCCACAACGAGAUGCACGGAGGGAUCGUUCUGGUCUGAGAUAUCGGGAAACUGAACCUUUGGGAAGGUUGACCCAAGCUGCUCCUCCCCAAAGAAGAGACCUCCAGAGACCAAUCGUGCUCAACGACUCUCAAUUGGAACCAAAUGUGCAAAGGCAAGUGGUCCAACAGAACUUAAGCACCCAACCGCAAGCCCAAUCUCAAAUCCAGACCGCAAUACCUCAAACCCAAACCUCUCAGGGUCAGACUCCAAUCCCCAUUGGUCUACCAAGAGGAACAAUCAUACCUGAAACACAAACUGGCACCAGACCAAAUCAGACCGUGCCUCAGCCAUCCAUUCCUCUCACUGAGGCUGCACUACGCCAACACACCGCCCAGAUCAAUAACCCUUUCACCAACUGGAUCCAGCAGUCUCAAGCUGCCUUGCAGAACCCUGGACCUUCUCAACCCAUCCAGCAGCUUAACAAAGUGGGGCAGAUGCCUCCUGCUCCACCUCCGGUGCUGCGGCCGGACGAGUUCCAGAAACUUCCUCGUGAACGCAUGCAGCAGCCACGCACCAUCCAGCCUGUCACCGUGCAACGUAGACACAGAUCUCCAAACGUGCACAAGCAGACUCAAGUGUUGCAUACGAGCCCUCAGCGAAUGCCAGGAGUGCAUCCCAUGCAUGCAACCAUGCAUGGACACCCAACACACAUGCGACAGGUCCACAGAGGCAGACCCAGACGUUGAGAAAAUGCAGCGCUCGUCUGGCUCGACGCUAUUUGCACUGCGAAAAACUUUCGUCCACAGCACAAUGUCUCUGUGGUGGAAAGAAACAAAGGCUCAGCCAUUCCUCCGGCCCUCGGCUUAUUGUGCCAUACAAAUCUUUGUGUUUUGUCGGAGAGACCGCAUUAUUGAUAAAAAGACUGAUCUUUUUGUUUCUCCUGCACAGCUGUCAUGUAGGCACGUGAAAGCCGCGGCUGUUGAACAGGACACUGUGUGAAUUUCAUCCGUCGGAACAAUGCUGCUUUGGGAUUUUUCUUGUGCUCAAGUGUCUGAAAAUAAAACACAAUGCAGUGUUUUUCCACAGACAGGAAGACUUGAACAAAAUCCAAAUGAAUUAGGAUGGCUGGCAGAGUUUGAACUACUAAAUGAUAAAUAAUGGGACUGCCACGGUUUGUCCUCUUGCAACUAUUUAUUCAGCUUUCUGCUCACAGAUGCUUCUUGUAGCGCCGCUCAAUUAGUGCGAUCCGCUACGGUGCUUUUGUGGAUGGAUUACGCAUUUGAGUAUGAAGGAGACCCACCUAACGAACGUGUACUUAAUGAAGCUCUUACAUUUUUAUGUUAAUGAUGUGGAAAAUGCUAAUGAGUUUAAGUAAAAUAGGUUGUUGACAGGC
rnacentral:lncRNA from 1 species